rnacentral:rRNA from 2 species
UUUAAUGAGAGUUUGAUCCUGGCUCAGGACGAACGCUGGCGGCGUGCCUAAUACAUGCAAGUAGAACGCUGAGGUUUGGUGUUUACACUAGACUGAUGAGUUGCGAACGGGUGAGUAACGCGUAGGUAACCUGCCUCAUAGCGGGGGAUAACUAUUGGAAACGAUAGCUAAUACCGCAUAAGAGUAAUUAACACAUGUUAGUUAUUUAAAAGGAGCAAUUGCUUCACUGUGAGAUGGACCUGCGU